UCCCAGACUCCUACGGGAGGCAGCAGUGAGGAAUAUUGGUCAAUGGCCGGAAGGCUGAACCAGCCAAGUCGCGUGAGGGAAUAAGGCCCUAUGGGUCGUAAACCUCUUUUGUCAGGGAGCAAAGGCGUCCACGUGUGGACGAGAGGAGAGUACCUGAAGAAAAAGCAUCGGCUAACUCCGUGCCAGCAGCCGCGGUAAUACGGAGGAUGCGAGCGUUAUCCGGAUUUAUUGGGUUUAAAGGGUGCGUAGGCGGAGUGUCAAGUCAGCGGUAAAAUUUCGGGGCUCAACCCCGUCGUGCCGUUGAAACUGACGCCCUUGAGUGAGUGAGAAGUAAGCGGAAUGCGUGGUGUAGCGGUGAAAUGCAUAGAUAUCACACAGAACACCGAUUGCGAAGGCAUCUCACGAAUCCGCGAUUGACGCUGAUGCACGAAAGCGUGGGUAUCAAACAGGAUUAGAUACCCCCGUA
rnacentral:rRNA from 1 species